ACACCUGCAGGACCCAAAGGAAGGGUCAGUUCAGGCUGAAGGAUAGUCUCCCCUUCCCCAAGCUGCUGUUUUUCUCUGUCGCAUUUGGAGGUGGACCCCAAUGGAGUGGUGCGGUGACCUAGAGGUGGUGGUCUUGCCUCACAAUCAGGAGACUGUGAGUUCAAUCCUAGGUAGAGGCAGGUAUUUCUCUCUCUGGACACAAUUAGAAUAUAUCUGCUGAACAAAACUCCACACUGGCGACAGGAAGGGCAUUCAGCCAAUAAAACACUGCUAGCUCCAUUCAGUUGCCCAGACUCCACCCCGCAAGGGAUUAUGGGGUCAUUAAAUGAUGAUGAUUUGGAGGUGGACCCCCUCUGAACAUGGAUGUUCUUCUACCAUGUGCCAGUAACUAAGGCCUGGAUUAGCUUUCUGCUUAACCCAACAUCCUGGUUCUGAUGGUGGAAGAAGGAACUUCUGGAAGGACCCCAAGCCUUCCUCACGGUUGCAGGGCCUUUGGGUAGGAGGGAGCUCACCUGGCCCGUCAGCCGAGGGCAGUGGGGAUCAGAGAUGUCGUAUUGUCGGACAUCGCCGUGAAACCAGUUGCUCAGGUUGGUACCACCCAGUGACCACCUUCUUUGGAAUCUGGAUAACCUUCUCUGUGGCCCACGACCCGUCCUGCAAGAGACACGCAAGGCUGGUUGGGACGUGGAAAGCUCUCCCAUCCAAACAAAUUUGCACCAGCCCUUCCGCUUCCUAUUGUGUCUGCCUCCUAAUCUGAAGUCUUUCAAAGA